ACGCUGGCGGCAGGCCUAACACAUGCAAGUCGAGCGGUAGCACGGGAGAGCUUGCUCUCUGGGUGACGAGCGGCGGACGGGUGAGUAAUGUCCGGGAAACUGCCUGAUGGAGGGGGAUAACUACUGGAAACGGUAGCUAAUACCGCAUGACCUCGCAAGAGCAAAGUGGGGGACCUUCGGGCCUCACGCCAUCGGAUGUGCCCAGAUGGGAUUAGCUAGUAGGUGGGGUAAUGGCUCACCUAGGCGACGAUCCCUAGCUGGUCUGAGAGGAUGACCAGCCACACUGGAACUGAGACACGGUCCAGACUCCUACGGGAGGCAGCAGUGGGGAAUAUUGCACAAUGGGCGCAAGCCUGAUGCAGCCAUGCCGCGUGUGUGAAGAAGGCCUUAGGGUUGUAAAGCACUUUCAGCGAGGAGGAAGGGUUCAGUGUUAAUAGCACUGAGCAUUGACGUUACUCGCAGAAGAAGCACCGGCUAACUCCGUGCCAGCAGCCGCGGUAAUACGGAGGGUGCAAGCGUUAAUCGGAAUUACUGGGCGUAAAGCGCACGCAGGCGGUUUGUUAAGUCAGAUGUGAAAUCCCCGAGCUUAACUUGGGAACUGCAUUUGAAACUGGCAAGCUAGAGUCUUGUAGAGGGGGGCAGAAUUCCAGGUGUAGCGGUGAAAUGCGUAGAGAUCUGGAGGAAUACCGGUGGCGAAGGCGGCCCCCUGGACAAAGACUGACGCUCAGGUGCGAAAGCGUGGGGAGCAAAC
rnacentral:rRNA from 1 species